UAUUAUGUACAUACCUACAACAUAUAAUUAAUGCACUGGAUCCCAUUAGAACUUCACAGUUAAGAGAGUUGGGGCUAGAGUAGUACUGGGAUGGGUGACCGCCCGGGAAGUCCUAGUGUUUUACAUUCC
rfam:Picea glauca, whole genome shotgun sequence.